rnacentral:rRNA from 1 species
CCUACGGGAGGCUGCAGUGGGGAAUAUUGCGCAAUGGGCGAAAGCCUGACGCAGCGACGCCGCGUGAGGGAUGAAGGUCUUCGGAGCGUAAACCUCUGUCAGCAGGGAAGAACGGUCACUGUGCUAAUCAGCAGUGAAUUGACGGUACCUGCAAAGGAAGCACCGGCUAACUCCGUGCCAGCAGCCGCGGUAAUACGGCGGGUGCGAGCGUUAAUCGGAAUUACUGGGCGUAAAGCGCUCGUAGGCGGUAUGUCAAGUAAAGGGUGAAAUCCCCGCGGCUAACGUUGGAACUGCCUUUGAAACUGGCAAACUGGAGUGUGUGAGAGGAUAGUGGAAUUCCAGGUGUAGGAGUGAAAUCCGUAGAUAUCUGGAGGAACAUCAGUGGCGAAGGCGACUAUCUGGCCCAUAACUGACGCUGAGGAGCGAAAGCGUGGGUAGCAAACAGGAUUAGAUACCCCUGUAGUC